rnacentral:rRNA from 1 species
CUAAUAUGACAAUAUAUUAUAUAUUGUCAGGUUACGACGGCAUACAAAAUAUUACAUGAAGUAGACUACCUUGGUGGUUAUCAAUUAUUUGGUAAGUUCCCCUAAAAAUUAAAAUUACCGUCAUGCUAUUUGAGUUUUAAUCAAAAAAAGAUUUUAGUACUCAGUAUUUAUAAUUGGGUAUUGUAUAAAAGGGUAUCUAAUCCUUGUUUAUGAUCAAUAUUUUGAAUAUACUUGAUUAUUUAAGAAUUUAAUUACUAUUUCACCAAAAUAUUUGAUAUAUAAGCUUUAAAUAUAUACUUUAUACAGUUUAUUACUAUAAAAGUCUGACCGCGACUGCUGGCACUUUUUAAGUCAUAGUAUAUAAAAUUGGUUUAUUCUUACUUUCGUAAAUUAAUAAAUUUUCUUUCCUGGUAUAUUAUCUUUU